UCGGGUAAUAAAAGCCAAGGAUCGAAGAGUUAUCUGCAGUAGAAAACUCGGCCUUGACUUGAAAACAUCUGCAAACAGUGCUUUCAAUUUUAAAUUUCAGGAUGUGUACAAAGGUUCUUUGUAUUUUGAUACUUGGACUUGGAGCAGUUUUAGCUCAGGAUGAUGCUCCUCCGGCAGAUACUGCUCCGCCAGCGGCUGCUGCUCCGCCGGCAGCUGCUGCUCCGCCGGCAGCUGCUCCACCGCCAGCGAAUGAUGCAGCAGCGGAUACAGCGGAGGCUGACGAUGCAGCACCAGCAGCGGAAGGGGCGGACGGAGAUGCGGCGGAAGAUAGCGCGGCGGACGAUUGUGAGGAAUCUUGGGAAUAUAUUCAGUUCCUAAGAGAAGAAGUAAAUGAUAAAGUUGAGGAACUACUGCGUGGAUUAAGGGAUGCUAAGGAUCAGAAAGGAUCCGUCGCAAUCCUUGAGGAUACUGUGUCUAAGACUAUGAAGAAGGUUUUAGAAGUGAGAGAGGUGGUUUUGGAUCGAAUUUUUAAACUCCGUAAAUCUGAGAUUGCAACCUGCCCUGAUCAGAAUAUAAAACAAGAGGAGAAUCUUACUAACAUUAGGAUGGAUAUCAUGAGUAUUUUACUUAAACUUGUAGAAAGAGACGCUGCCAGUGUUGAAAAGCUGAAGGAAGUGAGAGACGACCUCCUUGAACUAAGGAUGAAGGUCAACAACGAGGUCAUGAGGGUCAUGAUGCUGCCUCAGGGCCGAGUUGCUAAGAAGGUUGAGGAAGGAGAUUGUGAGGAAUGUGAACUUCUUGAUGGACUCAGUGAAAAGAUUAACAAAUUGAUAAUGUGUGCUGACAUGGAAGAAGGAGAAACAGAAGAAGAUGGAGGAGAAGGAGAUGAAGGAGAAGGAAGUGGAGCAGGAGGAGAAGGAGGAGAAUGUAUGCCACCAAACAUGUAUUUUAUGGAGCUUAUGGACUGCAACAGGAAAAUUGACGAUGAAACCGAAAGACUGUUUCCCUCUUUGUUCGCAACCUUUGACGAAGCUGAACGCCUGAUUGUGGAAACUAAACUAAACAAUCUCAAGGCCAUCAGAGAGGAAAUAGAGGAUGUGAUUACUAAGCUGUCUAAAACUAAGGAUGAGGAUAAACUAAAGAAGACGACCUCUAGAUCUCUAGCACCCAUCAGUAAUAAACUACAAGAACUGGUUAAAGAAUGCAAGGCUGGCUGUGGACCAGAGGGCUGUGACUCCUGCGGUGCUGAGGUUCUUUAUGAAAUGAUGGAGAAAAUGAAUUACUAUCUACAGAUCUACAAUGCUACAGAAGAUGGUAGAGAACCAGUAGAGCAGAACGAGGAGGUGCGAAGGGACCUGAUGAAGUACAUCUCCACCACUAGCGAGGACAGCACCAAGAUUCUCCAGAAGAAGAUCGAGGGAACAAUGGAUGAUUGUGAUCAACAAAAGAUGGAUGUUUAUAACAAGACAAAGAACCCAAUGUGGAUGAUGGUAAAUACAACAAUAUUCACCGAAGGUAUUGAAGAGCCCCAGGUUAUGGUUGAGACAAUGGUGGAGAUGCUAAAACAACUUCUUCAGGAGUACUGCUCCGGUGAGGAGGUUGCCCCCAGGGCGGAGAAGGACGGGCCGAGCUGUGAGUGGGAGGAGUAUGAGCAGACCGGGGAGUACAUAAACAAGAUUGACGAGAUUAUCCAGGGAUCUUUGUUCAAACCUAAAGAAGAUACAGCUAAGAGGGAUGCUCAGCUUGGAUUUGUGGAGAUUAGAAUGAUGCUAGACAAACGUGUUGAGAAAUUGUUCCAGGAUAAUAUGGUUUGCCCUGAUGAAGCCACAACUAUUAAGAAAGAAUGGAUGGGUGAGUUGAACCGUUGUAUGGCUGUGUUUAUGAACUCCAAGCUCAAGUUUACGGAGAUGACAAGGUUGGAGAGGUUGGAGUGUACGAAGACUCUCCGGGCUAGUAUGGAGAAGAGAAGAUCCGACCUACUCACUUCAGAACUAGAGAAAUCCAUUGAUCAGAUCGGAGAAACUUCUGCAAGGGAAGGUCAGAUUGAAAUGGAAGGAGUUGGGUACAGAUAGGGAUGCCGAGGGACAAGCUUCUGAAAAUCCAGCUUCAGAGGCUCCACAAGCUUAGGAAAGCUUGAGACAGAUUUGUUAUCUGAGCCCCCGAAACUAUAAAUGUAUCCUGAAGAUUAAAAUUAAAUAAGAUUUUAUGUAAUUAUUAAGAAUUUUCAUCAUAAGUUUCUUUUCUAGUUACGGUUUUUGUUUUAUAUUCAAAAAGCAUUUACGCGCCAUUUUUGAAAGAUGAAAUUAGAUCUUCUAGUUAAUACAGUGUGUCCCUCUUAACCUGAAAAUUAAAAGACGACCAAUUUUGAUGUCAAAUAUCCAGUCCUGGUUAAUAUCCAGUCCUGGUUAAUAUCCAGUCCUGGUUAAUAUCCAGUCCUGGUUAAUAUCCAGUCCUGGUUAAUAUUGUCCUUCAAAAUGGUGAAUUGACCUUAACUUUAGUUUUAAGUCAUACAUGUUUAAAAUCUUACUAUGUUGUCUAUAAAUUGUCAUGUUUAUUGUGACACCCUGUAUCUCCAGUAAAUUGUCAUGUUUAUUGUGACACCCUGUAUCUCCAGUUGGGCAUUACCGUCAACUUUCUAGAGCUUUCUGUAACUGCCAUUUAUAUAUUCUUACAGCUGUCAUAGAUUUAAGAAAUAACUGACUUUUGUCAGAUUACAGUUUUCAACACAGUUUAACCCAGAAACUUUGAGACUUUGAAAGAAUUUAUUAAAUGUCGUCUUUUUUAAUAGGAUUAUACUUAUAAACCUAAAUUUCAAUAAUUGUAGAAAUGAAUAAUUAGCUAUGAAUUGUGUGGGAAAAGUUUUAAUGAGCUCCAAAUAAUUAUUCAAUUAGAAAACUAAAUAUCCGCAACAUUUUUGAAAUAAAUUCGAUGCCUCCAAAGAUCUGGGUUAAAGUGUACACACUUCACCAUUUUACUCUUAACUGCCAUAUUGCUCAUGUGACUUGUUUAUCAAUGUAUUUAGUUUGUAAACCCUAGGUUAAGGUAUUUUUAAAUUCUCAUGAUGGACCUGAAAUAAAUACUAAAAUAAACCA
rnacentral:misc_RNA from 1 species